AAUUUCUGGUACGACGCAUUCGGCCCGGCGGCUUCGCGUCGCUUUGUGUGCUGGACUGCGUCUGCCAUCCUUCUCGACCGCGACUGCGGCUGCCCUUCGCUGGGUGGUCGCUCCGGUUGUUAGAUCUUUUACUUUGAAAAAAUUAGAGUGUUUAAAGCAGGCUUGCGCUAUGAAUACAUUAGCAUGGAAUAAUAAUUUAGGACUUUGUUUCUAUUUUGUUGGCUUCUAGGGACGAAGUAAUGAUGGAUAGGGAUAGUUGGGGGUGCUAGUACUCAGUGGCCAGAGGUGAAAUUCUUGGAUUCACUGAAGACUAACUUAUGCGAAAGCAUU
rnacentral:rRNA from 1 species